UACAGAGGUCUCAAGCGUUGUUCGGAUUCAUUGGGCGUAAAGGGUGCGUAGGCGGUGAGGUAAGUCUGGUGUGAAAUCCCGGAGCUCAACUCCGGAACUGCACUGGAUACUGCCUUACUUGAGCACUGGAGAGGGAACUGGAAUUUACGGUGUAGCAGUGAAAUGCGUAGAUAUCGUAAGGAAGACCAGCGGCGAAGGCGAGUUCCUGGACAGUUGCUGACGCUGAGGCACGAAGGCCAGGGGAGCAAACGGGG
rnacentral:rRNA from 1 species